rnacentral:rRNA from 1 species
CACGUAGGGGGCGAGCGUUGUUCGGAAUUACUGGGCGUAAAGGGCAUGUAGGCGGUCUUGUAAGCCUGACGUGAAAGGCUAUGGCUUAACCAUGGCACUGCGUUGGGAACUGCGAGACUUGAAUCACGGAGGGGGAACUGGAAUUCCAGGUGUAGGGGUGAAAUCUGUAGAUAUCUGGAAGAACACCAGUGGCGAAGGCGAGUUCCUGGCCGAUGAUUGACGCUGAGGUGCGAAAGUGUGGAGAUCAAACAGGAUUAGAUACCCUGGUAGUCCACACUGUAAACGAUGAUAACUCGCUGUCGGAGAUAUAAAGUCGGUGGCCAAGCGAAAGCGAUAAGUUAUCCACCUGGGGAGUACGACCACAAGGUUGAA